rnacentral:rRNA from 1 species
GUCGAACGGUAGAGGGGGCAACCCCUUGAGAGUGGCGAACGGGUGAGUAAUAUAUCGGAACGUGCCCAGUCGUGGGGGAUAACGUAGCGAAAGUUACGCUAAUACCGCAUACGAUCUAAGGAUGAAAGCGGGGGAUCGCAAGACCUCGCGCGAUUGGAGCGGCCGAUAUCAGAUUAGGUAGUUGGUGAGGUAAAGGCUCACCAAGCCAACGAUCUGUAGCUGGUCUGAGAGGACGACCAGCCACACUGGAACUGAGACACGGUCCAGACUCCUACGGGAGGCAGCAGUGGGGAAUUUUGGACAAUGGACGCAAGUCUGAUCCAGCCAUUCCGCGUGCAGGAUGAAGGCCCUCGGGUUGUAAACUGCUUUUGUACGGAACGAAAAGGUUUGUCUUAAUACGAUGAGCUCAUGACGGUACCGUAAGAAUAAGCACCGGCUAACUACGUGCCAGCAGCCGCGGUAAUACGUAGGGUGCAAGCGUUAAUCGGAAUUACUGGGCGUAAAGCGUGCGCAGGCGGUUAUGUAAGACAGAGGUGAAAUCCCCGGGCUCAACCUGGGAACUGCCUUUGUGACUGCAUAGCUAGAGUACGGUAGAGGGGGAUGGAAUUCCGCGUGUAGCAGUGAAAUGCGUAGAUAUGCGGAGGAACACCGAUGGCGAAGGCAAUCCCCUGGACCUGUACUGACGCUCAUGCACGAAAGCGUGGGGAGCAAACAGGAUUAGAUACCCUGGUAGUCCACGCCCUAAACGAU